AAAAGCGCAUGUGCUGUGAGCUCGAUGAGUAGGGCGGGACACGUGGUAUCCUGUCUGAAUAUGGGGGGACCAUCCUCCAAGGCUAAAUACUCCUGACUGACCGAUAGUGAACCAGUACCGUGAGGGAAAGGCGAAAAGAACCCCGGCGAGGGGAGUGAAAAAGAACCUGAAACCGUGUACGUACAAGCAGUGGGAGCACAGGUUUACCUGUGUGACUGCGUACCUUUUGUAUAAUGGGUCAGCGACUUAUAUUCUGUAGCAAGGUUAACCGUAUAGGGGAGCCGUAGGGAAACCGAGUCUUAACCGGGCGUUAAGUUGCAGGGUAUAGACCCGAAACCCGGUGAUCUAGCCAUGGGCAGGUUGAAGGUUGGGUAACACUAACUGGAGGACCGAACCGACUAAUGUUGAAAAAUUAGCGGAUGACCUGUGGCUGGGGGUGAAAGGCCAAUCAAACCGGGAGAUAGCUGGUUCUCCCCGAAAGCUAUUUAGGUAGCGCCUCGUGAAUUCAUCUCCGGGGGUAGAGCACUGUUUCGGCUAGGGGGCCAUCCCGGCUUACCAACCCGAUGCAAACUGCGAAUACCGGAGAAUGUUAUCACGGGAGACACACGGCGGGUGCUAACGUCCGUCGUGAAGAGGGAAACAACCCAGACCGCCAGCUAAGGUCCCAAAGUCAUGGUUAAGUGGGAAACGAUGUGGGAAGGCCCAGACAGCCAGGAUGUUGGCUUAGAAGCAGCCAUCAUUUAAAGAAAGCGUAAUAGCUCACUGGUCGAGUCGGCCUGCGCGGAAGAUGUAACGGGGCUAAACCAUGCACCGAAGCUGCGGCAGCGACGCUUAUGCGUUGUUGGGUAGGGGAGCGUUCUGUAAGCCUGUGAAGGUGUGUCGUGAGGCAUGCUGGAGGUAUCAGAAGUGCGAAUGCUGACAUAAGUAACGAUAAAGCGGGUGAAAAGCCCGCUCGCCGGAAGACCAAGGGUUCCUGUCCAACGUUAAUCGGGGCAGGGUGAGUCGACCCCUAAGGCGAGGCCGAAAGGCGUAGUCGAUGGGAAACAGGUUAAUAUUCCUGUACUUGGUGUUACUGCGAAGGGGGGACGGAGAAGGC
rnacentral:rRNA from 1 species